CCCGUCGUGGAAGAGCAGAUACUGCCGGCAGAACUUGAUGCUCUUGGCCUGCACCAGGUCCCGCUGCGACCACUCGGUGUACAGGCUGCAGUAUUUGCCCCCGUACUGCGUGGUGACGUCGGGGCCCAGGCAGGCGGUGCUGAUCCCCGGGUUCUGGCUCAGCUCCCGGUACAGCACCGCAGCCUCCUCCGCGCUGGGCAGCACCGGCGGCUCCAUGUCGCUGCGGCGGGCGGACACGGCGCCG
rnacentral:lncRNA from 1 species